GACGUAGGGAGCGAGCGUUGUCCGGAUUCAUUGGGCGUAAAGCGCGCGUAGGCGGCCUCGCAAGUCGGUUGUGAAAUCCCGGGGCUCAACCCCGGGACUGCGUCCGAUACUGCGAGGCUGGAGGUAGGUAGGGGAGAUCGGAAUUCCGGGUGUAGCGGUGGAAUGCGUAGAGAUCCGGAGGAACACCGAUGGCGAAGGCAGCCCCCUGGGUCGACACUGACGCUCAGGCACGAAAGCGUGGGGAGCAAACAGG
rnacentral:rRNA from 1 species